rnacentral:rRNA from 1 species
UACGUAGGGGGCAAGCGUUGUCCGGAAUCAUUGGGCGUAAAGAGCGUGUAGGCGGCUCGGUAAGUCCGCUGUGAAAGUCCAGGGCUCAACCCUGGAAUGCCGGUGGAAACUGUCGAGCUAGAGUCCGGAAGAGGCGAGUGGAAUUCCUGGUGUAGCGGUGAAAUGCGCAGAUAUCAGGAAGAACACCCGUGGCGAAGGCGGCUCUCUGGGACGGUACUGACGCUGAGACGCGAAAGCGUGGGGAGCGAACAGGG